rfam:Candidatus Gracilibacteria bacterium CG2_30_37_12 cg2_3.0_scaffold_21845_c, whole genome shotgun sequence.
AUGAAUACACUGUACGGCACAAAGUGGAUGCCUUGACUCAUAUAUCCGAUGAAGGACGUGCAAGACUCACGAUAAGCCUCGGGAAGCUGUCAAGAAGCGUUAUACCCGGGGAUCUCCGAAUGGGGGAACCCAAUACAGCAAACCUGUAUUACCUGCAUAGCAGGAGGACACCCAGCGAAUUGAAAUAUCUUAGUAACUGGGGAAAAGAAAUCAAACGAGAUUCCGUUAGUAGUGACGAGCGAAAGCGGAUCAGCCUAAACCUAUAGUGUGUCAAGCGUUGGAGCGUUGCACUGUGGGUGUUGUAAGAGCAUAUUCCUGACUUCCAAUAGGUCAGACAAACAAAUAUCCUGGAUAGGAGAACCACUUGAGAAGGUGGACCGAAGAAGGUUACAGUCCUGUAUCCGAAAUCCAAGAUGUUGAUUUGCAUAUGUUUCUUGAGUAGGGUCAGACACGAGAAAUCUGGCUUGAAUCUGGGGGGACCACCCUCCAAGGCUAAAGAGUAUAUGAGAUCGAUAGUGAACAAGUACCGUGAGGGAAAGGUGAAAAGAACCCCGGGAGGGGAGUGAAAUAGAACCUGAAACUUUGUGCCAAUAAAGAGUCGGAGCCUUCGGGUGACGGCGUACUUUUUGUAGAACGGACCAACGAGUUAGCUGUAUGUGGCAAGGUUAAGGAAGAGU